GGAUUUGAUUUAUAACUUUAACAGUAUUAAAACUGAAUGUUCAAUGUUCAGUCAAGCAAACAUGAGGUCAAACAUGAGGUCAAACAUGAGGUCAAACACGAGGUCAAACAUGAGGUCAAACACGAGGUCUAAGGUCUAUAUAUAAGCCUACUUUAGGUCUAACAUGAGGCCUACUGCCUGACUACAGGUAUAAAGGUCUACUUUAGGUCUAACAUUAGGCCUACUGCCUGACUACAGGUAUAAAGGUCUAUAGUUCUACUGCCUGACUGCAGGUAUAAAGGUCUUUAGUUCAACUUCCUGAAUAAAGGCCUACUUUAUGUCUAACAUUAGACCUACUUCCUGACUACAGGUAUAAAGGUCUAUAGUUCUACUGCCUGACUACAGGUAUAAAGGUCUUUAGUUCUACUUCCUGACUACAGGUAUAAAGGUCAAGAGUUUUACUUUCAGCCUCUUUUUAAGGUUUAAAUGUCAACUCAGUCAUCAGAAUGUGCGUUUCUUUCUUCAUAGAGUGUCUAUAGGUCUCUUAAGGUGUUGCUAUCUAAUGUGAACACCUCAAAGCUGAACAUUUUCCAUUGACGUCACGUUGGUGUGAAACCUGUUUACCUCGAUGCUAGACCCUCCUCUUCCUGUCACAACAUGGGUUUCAGAGAAAAGGACCACGAGCUGAAAACUUUCCACUCAAUUGAACCAAUCGCUGCUCGUAUGUCCUUUCAUGGUAAAGUACAUCGAGUCAUGAACACGGAAAUACGCAGCAAAGACCUUGUUACUCAAAGACCCAGCUACUCUCUGACAGUCACCAUCAGACCAUCAGACCACCAGAUGGACAGGCUGUGUGUUUCUCUGAUUGCAUUCUUAUGAGGAAGGAGACCUGUUUUACGCCUCGUUGGAUAUCCGUCAGGGACAGAGGAGACCAAAGAAGAAGAAGAAGAGAGUCCAGAACUCUGACUUCAGUACCUACACAGCCAUCAAUACCAGCAGAGUGAGACCUAUACCAGCCAUCAAUACCAGCAGAGUGUGAGACCUAUACCAUCCAUCAAUACCAGCAGAGUGAGACCUAUACCAUCCAUCAAUACCAGCAGAGUGUGAGACCUAUACCAUCCAUCAAUACCAGCAGAGUGAGACCUAUACCAUCCAUCAAUACCAGCAGAGUGUGAGACCUAUACCAUCCAUCAAUACCAGCAGAGUGAGACCUAUACCAUCCAUCAAUACCAGCAGAGUGUGGUCUCUGAACUUCUCUAUCAGAGACCAGUCAUUCUCCAUGUCUGUAGUGAAUUGAACUUCUCUAUCAGAGACCAGUCAUUCUCCAUGUCUGUAGUGAAUUGAACUUCUCUAUCAGAGACCAGUCAUUCUCCUUGUCUGUAGUGAAUUGAACUUCUCUAUCAGAGACCAGUCAUUCUCCUUGUCUGUAGUGAAUUGAACUUCUCUAUCAGAGACCAGUCAUUCUCCUUGUCUGUAGUGAAUUGAACUUCUCUAUCAGAGACCAGUCAUUCUCCUUGUCUGUAGUGAAUUGAACUUCUCUAUCAGAGACCAGUCAUUCUCCUUGUCUGUAGUGAAUUGAACUUCUCUAUCAGAGACCAGUCAUUCUCCAUGUCUGUAGUGAAUUGAACUUCUCUAUCAGAGACCAGUCAUUCUCCUUGUCUGUAAUGAACUUCUCUUCUACGUGUCCAAUUAGAUCAGCAUCAAACUGUUGUCAUUUGUUAUUUUGCCUUUAUUUUUUAUUUAUAGAGAUCCUUUUAACACAAAGUUUCUACUUUUAUCUGAACUUUUUUGUCGCUUCUUUUAUAAUGUAAUAUUUUUUUACCAUUUAAAAAUGUCUCCAACAUUUUAUUGUUGUGCAUUUUCUAUUUUUUAUGGACAUAAUGAUCAGGUCUGAUUUAUAGUUCAGAUUGAGAUAAUGAUAAUAUGUGAUUUAUAGUUCAGAUUGAGAUAAUGAUAAUGUCUGAUUUGCAGUCUGUGUAUCUAACCUAAAGCAGCAGGUGUAAAAGUGUAUCCAC
rnacentral:lncRNA from 1 species